GGGUUGUGAGGUUAAGCGACUAAGCGUACACGGUGGAUGCCCUGGCAGUCAGAGGCGAUGAAGGACGUGCUAAUCUGCGAUAAGCGUCGGUAAGGUGAUAUGAACCGUUAUAACCGGCGAUUUCCGAAUGGGGAAACCCAGUGUGUUUCGACACACUAUCAUUAACUGAAUCCAUAGGUUAAUGAGGCGAACCGGGGGAACUGAAACAUCUAAGUACCCCGAGGAAAAGAAAUCAACCGAGAUUCCCCCAGUAGCGGCGAGCGAACGGGGAGCAGCCCAGAGCCUGAAUCAGUGUGUGUGUUAGUGGAAGCGUCUGGAAAGGCGCGCGAUACAGGGUGACAGCCCCGUACACAAAAAUGCACAUGCUGUGAGCUCGAUGAGUAGGGCGGGACACGUGGUAUCCUGUCUGAAUAUGGGGGGACCAUCCUCCAAGGCUAAAUACUCCUGACUGACCGAUAGUGAACCAGUACCGUGAGGGAAAGGCGAAAAGAACCCCGGCGAGGGGAGUGAAAAAGAACCUGAAACCGUGUACGUACAAGCAGUGGGAGCCUCUUUAUGGGGUGACUGCGUACCUUUUGUAUAAUGGGUCAGCGACUUAUAUUCUGUAGCAAGGUUAACCGAAUAGGGGAGCCGAAGGGAAACCGAGUCUUAACUGGGCGUUAAGUUGCAGGGUAUAGACCCGAAACCCGGUGAUCUAGCCAUGGGCAGGUUGAAGGUUGGGUAACACUAACUGGAGGACCGAACCGACUAAUGUUGAAAAAUUAGCGGAUGACUUGUGGCUGGGGGUGAAAGGCCAAUCAAACCGGGAGAUAGCUGGUUCUCCCCGAAAGCUAUUUAGGUAGCGCCUCGUGAACUCAUCUCCGGGGGUAGAGCACUGUUUCGGCAAGGGGGUCAUCCCGACUUACCAACCCGAUGCAAACUGCGAAUACCGGAGAAUGUUAUCACGGGAGACACACGGCGGGUGCUAACGUCCGUCGUGAAGAGGGAAACAACCCAGACCGCCAGCUAAGGUCCCAAAGUCAUGGUUAAGUGGGAAACGAUGUGGGAAGGCCCAGACAGCCAGGAUGUUGGCUUAGAAGCAGCCAUCAUUUAAAGAAAGCGUAAUAGCUCACUGGUCGAGUCGGCCUGCGCGGAAGAUGUAACGGGGCUAAACCAUGCACCGAAGCUGCGGCAGCGACACUAUGUGUUGUUGGGUAGGGGAGCGUUCUGUAAGCCUGUGAAGGUGUACUGUGAGGUAUGCUGGAGGUAUCAGAAGUGCGAAUGCUGACAUAAGUAACGAUAAAGCGGGUGAAAAGCCCGCUCGCCGGAAGACCAAGGGUUCCUGUCCAACGUUAAUCGGGGCAGGGUGAGUCGACCCCUAAGGCGAGGCCGAAAGGCGUAGUCGAUGGGAAACAGGUUAAUAUUCCUGUACUUGGUGUUACUGCGAAGGGGGGACGGAGAAGGCUAUGUUGGCCGGGCGACGGUUGUCCCGGUUUAAGCGUGUAGGCUGGUUUUCCAGGCAAAUCCGGAAAAUCAAGGCUGAGGCGUGAUGACGAGGCACUACGGUGCUGAAGCAACAAAUGCCCUGCUUCCAGGAAAAGCCUCUAAGCAUCAGGUAACAUCAAAUCGUACCCCAAACCGACACAGGUGGUCAGGUAGAGAAUACCAAGGCGCUUGAGAGAACUCGGGUGAAGGAACUAGGCAAAAUGGUGCCGUAACUUCGGGAGAAGGCACGCUGAUAUGUAGGUGAAGUCCCUCGCGGAUGGAGCUGAAAUCAGUCGAAGAUACCAGCUGGCUGCAACUGUUUAUUAAAAACACAGCACUGUGCAAACACGAAAGUGGACGUAUACGGUGUGACGCCUGCCCGGUGCCGGAAGGUUAAUUGAUGGGGUCAGCGCAAGCGAAGCUCUUGAUCGAAGCCCCGGUAAACGGCGGCCGUAACUAUAACGGUCCUAAGGUAGCGAAAUUCCUUGUCGGGUAAGUUCCGACCUGCACGAAUGGCGUAAUGAUGGCCAGGCUGUCUCCACCCGAGACUCAGUGAAAUUGAACUCGCUGUGAAGAUGCAGUGUACCCGCGGCAAGACGGAAAGACCCCGUGAACCUUUACUAUAGCUUGACACUGAACAUUGAGCCUUGAUGUGUAGGAUAGGUGGGAGGCUUGGAAGUGUGGACGCCAGUCUGCAUGGAGCCGACCUUGAAAUACCACCCUUUAAUGUUUGAUGUUCUAACGUUGACCCGUAAUCCGGGUUGCGGACAGUGUCUGGUGGGUAGUUUGACUGGGGCGGUCUCCUCCUAAAGAGUAACGGAGGAGCACGAAGGUUGGCUAAUCCUGGUCGGACAUCAGGAGGUUAGUGCAAUGGCAUAAGCCAGCUUGACUGCGAGCGUGACGGCGCGAGCAGGUGCGAAAGCAGGUCAUAGUGAUCCGGUGGUUCUGAAUGGAAGGGCCAUCGCUCAACGGAUAAAAGGUACUCCGGGGAUAACAGGCUGAUACCGCCCAAGAGUUCAUAUCGACGGCGGUGUUUGGCACCUCGAUGUCGGCUCAUCACAUCCUGGGGCUGAAGUAGGUCCCAAGGGUAUGGCUGUUCGCCAUUUAAAGUGGUACGCGAGCUGGGUUUAGAACGUCGUGAGACAGUUCGGUCCCUAUCUGCCGUGGGCGCUGGAGAACUGAGGGGGGCUGCUCCUAGUACGAGAGGACCGGAGUGGACGCAUCACUGGUGUUCGGGUUGUCAUGCCAAUGGCACUGCCCGGUAGCUAAAUGCGGAAGAGAUAAGUGCUGAAAGCAUCUAAGCACGAAACUUGCCCCGAGAUGAGUUCUCCCUGACUCCUUGAGAGUCCUGAAGGAACGUUGAAGACGACGACGUUGAUAGGCCGGGUGUGUAAGCGCAGCGAUGCGUUGAGCUAACCGGUACUAAUGAACCGUGAGGCUUAACCUUACAACGCCGAAG
rnacentral:rRNA from 1 species